rnacentral:rRNA from 1 species
AUACGGAGGAUCCGAGCGUUAUCCGGAUUUAUUGGGUUUAAAGGGUGCGCAGGCGGCCAUUUAAGUCAGCGGUUAAAUCGUGGGGCUCAACCCCAUUCUGCCGUUGAUACUGGGUGGCUUGAUUGCGGUCGAGGUUGGCGGAAUUUGUUGGGGUGCGGGGAAAUGCAUAGAUAUGACGAAGAACACCGAUUGCGUAGGCAGCUGACCAGACCGCAAAUGACGCUCAUGCACGAAAGUGCGGGGAUCGAACAGGAUUAGAUACCCUGGUAGUCCGCACAGUAAACGAUGAAUACUUGUUUUCGGCGAUAUAAUGUCGGAGGCAAAGCGAAAGCGAUAAGUAUUCCACCUGGGGAGUACGCCGGCAACGGUGAAACUCAAAUGAAUUGACGGGG